rnacentral:lncRNA from 1 species
CGCUACCCAAACAAUUUGGGCUCCUUAACCUUGCUGCAGCCGGAGGCUUCCUGGUCCUGCUAGGUUCAGGCAGAACACCCGGCGCGCGCGUGCACGCGUGUACACACACACACACACACACACACAGCCGUGGCGUCGCCGCCUGGCUGGCCCCCGCCCUUAGGGACUAGUGCAGCGACCGCUGCGCCCAGCGCUGCCAACCAAGAAGCCCCACCAGCCGGGGCUGCGCCGCCCAGUGUCCCCGAGUGAGCCCCGCGCGCGUGCCGCGCCGCUGUCGCUCGCUCUGUGUUGACGGCGAGCGCGGCGGACACGCACGCUGUCUGCUCGCUGGGCUCCCUGCCCCUUCCCCGCCUCGGCUCCGGCUUUUUGUUGAAAGCAGCACUUCCACCAUCCGGCUUUUUUUAUUUUCUCCCUUCGUUGGCGGCUACUGAAAAGAGUUGAUUGGUAUUGGAUCCGCUGGGGAGCGGAGUGAAGGUGGGGAAACGGAAGACCUGGAAGAAUCUCCUCUUCAGAAAGGCAUCUCCGCCCAGUCGCCAGCCAGCCCAGCCUCUACUUUAAUCCUCGCCAGGACAAUGGAUUAAGUUACUCUUCCUGGGCAGAAGUCGGUUUCAGAUUCCGGGCAAAAUGAAGGAAAAGGCGAUGAUCAAGACGGCUAAAAUGCAGGGGAACGUGAUGGUGAGUGUGGACGGCGGGCGCGCGGGAUCUGGGGACCCGCAGUGAGGGGCAUGGAGGGGUGUCUGUCCUCGUCGGUCCCUAAUUCCACGGAAUGACGUCCACCUGGUACCCGUGCAGCAGCGCUUCCACCGCUUGCCUGUGGCGCCCCGGGUGGGUGCCAAGGAUCACGCGUUUAUUUGCAAAUACCAACUUGAUGGCUUCGCGAUCGCUCUCCUUUGGGCAUGUGGCUUUGUGUCUUUGAGCACAGACUGCGAUGGAGCCCUUGCUGGCC